GGACAAUGUUGCAGCAAUCUGACUGCAACAUCUGUCACUCCAUUGGUUGCCAGGGUUGAUUUGGCUGAACUGGCUGGCUAGGCGGGUGUCCUCUUCCUUCCUCACUGCUCCACGUGUGUCCCUCCCGAAGCUGCAUGCUCAGUGGAAGUGGACAGCCAUCCCAGACAAAAGGAGUGUAGCAUUCUUUGGUCACGGGGUACUACUUAGUUUUCAAACUUUUGUAAAAGCCCAUUUCCAGACUGCUUUUCUAA
rnacentral:snRNA from 1 species